rnacentral:rRNA from 1 species
GUUUUUUAGAAAUAAAUUUAAUUUAAAAAUUUUUAAUUUUUAUUAAUUAUUUAUAUUAAUUAAUAAAUUUAUUAAUUUAAAUAUUUUAAGGGAUAAGCUUUAAAAUAAAUUUUUAUAAAUUAAUUGAAUAAUAAUUAAAAAUAUAUACAUAGAAUUAGUAAUUAUUAAAAAUUUUGUUAUAAAUUAUUUUAUAAUAUAUAUUAUUUAUUUUAAUUUUAAAUUUUUAUAAAAAUAUUUUUUAAAAUUUUUUUUAAUAAGAAAUAAUGAUAAAAUUAGUAUAUAUAGUAUGUAAAAGUAAUUUUAUUUGAUAAGUUUAUAUAAAGAACUCGGCAAAUAUUUUACUCGCCUGUUUAACAAAAACAUGUCUUUUUGAGUUAAUUUUAAAGUCUAACCUGCCCAAUGAAUAAAAUUUUAAUGGCCGCAGUAUUUUGACUGUGCAAAGGUAGCAUAAUCAUUAGUCUUUUAAUUGAG